AGUUGGCUGACGAGUCUAAAAUAGGACGAAAUGCGCGUUAUCCUGGAU
rnacentral:hammerhead_ribozyme from 1 species